GAAGAAAAAGCAUCGGCUAACUCCGUGCCAGCAGCCGCGGUGAUACGGAGGAUGCAAGCGUUAUCCGGAAUCAUUGGGCGUAAAGGGUCCGCAGGUGGCGAAUAAAGUCUGCUGUUAAAGACCGGGGCUUAACUCCGGAAAGGCAGUGGAAACUGAUUAGCUAGAGUACGGUAGGGGUAGAGGGAAUUCCCAGUGUAGCGGUGAAAUGCGUAGAUAUUGGGAAGAACACCGGUGGCGAAAGCGCUCUACUAGGCCGAAACUGACACUGAGGGACGAAAGCUAGGGUAGCGAAAGGGAUUAGAUACCCCUGUAGUCUUAGCGGUAAACGAUGGAUACUAGGUGUAGCUUGUAUCGACCCGAGCUGUGCCGAAGCUAACGCGAUAAGUAUCCCGCCUGGGGAGUACGCACGCAAGUGUGAAACUCAAAGGAAUUGACGGGGGCCCGCACAAGCGGUGGAGUAUGUGGUUUAAUUCGAUGCAACGCGAAGAACCUCACCAGGGCUUGACAUGUCGCGAAUCUAGCGGAAACGUUAGAGUGCCUUAGGGAAUGCGAACACAGGUGGUGCAUGGCUGUCGUCAGCUCGUGUCGUGAGAUGUUGGGUUAAGUCCCGCAACGAGCGCAACCCUCGUCCUUAGUUGCCAAUAUUAAGUUAGGCACUCUAGGGAGACUGCCGGGGACAACUCGGAGGAAGGUGGGGAUGACGUCAAGUCAGCAUGCCCCUUACGUCCUGGGCGACACACGUACUACAAUGGUUGGGACAAAGGGCAGCAAGCUCGCGAGAGUAAGCGAAUCUCAUCAAACCCAGCCACAGUUCAGAUUGCAGGCUGCAACUCGCCUGCAUGAAGUAGGAAUCGCUAGUAAUCGCAGGUCAGCAUACUGCGGUGAAUUCGUUCCCGGGCCUUGUACACACCGCCCGUCACACCAUGGAAGCUGGCUACGCCCGAAGUCGUUACCCUAACCCGGUUUUGGGAGGGGGAUGCCGAAGGUAGAGCUAGUGACUGGGGUGAAGUCGUAACAAGGUAGCCGUACCGGAAGGUGUGGCUGGAUCACCUCCUUU
rnacentral:rRNA from 1 species